CAAAUCAGGUAGGACUACCCGCUGAACUUAAGCAUAUCAAUAAGCGGAGGAAAAGAAACUAACAAGGAUUCCCCUAGUAGCGGCGAGCGAAGCGGGAAGAGCUCAAAUUUAUAAUCUGGCACCUUCGGUGUCCGAGUUGUAAUCUCUAGAAAUGUUUUCCGCGUUGGACCGCACACAAGUCUGUUGGAAUACAGCGGCAUAGUGGUGAGACCCCCGUAUAUGGUGCGGACGCCCAGCGCUUUGUGAUACAUUUUCGAAGAGUCGAGUUGUUUGGGAAUGCAGCUCAAAUUGGGUGGUAAAUUCCAUCUAAAGCUAAAUAUUGGCGAGAGACCGAUAGCGAACAAGUACCGUGAGGGAAAGAUGAAAAGCACUUUGGAAAGAGAGUUAACAGUACGUGAAAUUGUUGGAAGGGAAACGCUUGAAGUCAGACUUGCUUGCCGAGCAAUCGGUUUGCAGGCCAGCAUCAGUUUUCCGGGAUGGAUAAUGGUAGAGAGAAGGUAGCAGUUUCGGCUGUGUUAUAGCUCUCUGCUGGAUACAUCUUGGGGG
rnacentral:rRNA from 1 species